rnacentral:rRNA from 1 species
UUGCUAGUUACGGAUUUAGUGGCGAACGGGUGAGUAAUACAUAAAUAACCUGCCCCUAUGUUUGGAAUAACAGUUGGAAACGACUGCUAAUGCCAGAUACGUUAUCAAUCGGCAUCGAUAGAUAAUAAAAGAUGGGAUACAUCGCAAAGGGAUGGAUUUAUGGCGCAUUAGUUAGUUGGUGAGGUAACGGCUCACCAAGACGAUGAUGCGUAGCCGGCCUGAGAGGGUGAACGGCCACACUGGGACUGAGACACGGCCCAGACUCC